rnacentral:rRNA from 1 species
UACGAAGGGGGCUAGCGUUGUUCGGAUUUACUGGGCGUAAAGCGCACGUAGGCGGACUAUUAAGUCGGGUGUGAAAGCCCCGGGCUCAACCUGGGAAUUGCAUUCGAUACUGGAAAGCUCGAGUCCGGGAGAGGUGAGUGGAACUGCGAGUGUAGAGGUGAAAUUCGUAGAUAUUCGCAAGAACACCAGUGGCGAAGGCGGCUCACUGGCCCGGUACUGACGCUGAGGUGCGAAAGCGUGGGGAGCAAACAGG